rnacentral:rRNA from 1 species
AUUGAACGCUGGCGGCAUGCCUAACACAUGCAAGUCGAGCGGUUGAAGGGAGCUUGCUCCUUGAUUCAGCGGCGGACGGGUGAGUAAUGCCUAGGAAUCUCCCUGCCAGUGGUGGAUAACGUCCGGUAACGGCCGCUAAUACCGCCUACGUCCUGAGGGAGCUACUUGGGUAUCUUCUGACCUCACUUUAUCAGCUGAGCCUAGGUCGGAUCAGCUAGUUGGUGGGGUAAAGGCCUACCAAGGCGACGAUCCGUAACUGGUCUGAGUGGAUGAUCAGGCACACUGGAACUGAGACACGGUCAAGACGACUAAGAGAGGCAGCAGUGGGGAAUAUUAGGCAAUAGGCGAAAGCCUGAUACAGCGAUGCAGCGUGUGAGAAGAAGGUCUUCGGAUAGUAAAGCACGUUUAGGUGGGAGGAAGGGCAGUAAGUUAAUAACUAGCUGAUGUGACGGUACCAACAGAAUAAGCACCGGCUAACUACGUG